GACGAACGCUGGCGGCGUGCUUCAUACAUGCAAGUCGAACGAGAAGUUACCUUCGGGUAAUGGAAAGUGGCGGACGGGUGAGUAAUGUGUAGAGAAUCUGCCCUAGAGUGGGGGAUAGCCAUUGGAAACGGUGAUUAAUACCCCAUAUGAGCGUACCUGGAAUGGUAUUCUUGAAAACUCCGGUGCUCUGGGAUGAGUCUGCAUCUGAUUAGCUAGUUGGGGGUGUAAUGGACCACCAAGGCGACGAUCAGUAGCUGGUUUGAGAGGAUGAUCAGCCACAAUGGGACUGAGACACGGCCCAUACUCC
rnacentral:rRNA from 1 species